rnacentral:misc_RNA from 1 species
CUGAGACUGGGUGCUUCGGCGCCCGACCUCCAACCCCCUGUUUACCUUACCACUGUUGCCUCGGCGUUUCCGUCCGCCUCCCUCUAGCAGGGGGUGCGGGGGUGCGCCGGCGGCCAAAACAACAAACCCUUCCUUCAAACCAGCAAUCUGAGAAAUUAUUUUAAUAACUUCA